UACGAAGGGUGCAAGCGUUAAUCGGAAUUACUGGGCGUAAAGCGUGCGUAGGCGGUCUUUUAAGUCCGUUGUGAAAGCCCUGGGCUCAACCUGGGAAUGGCAGUGGAUACUGGAAGGCUGGAGUACGGUAGAGGAGGGUGGAAUUCCCGGUGUAGCGGUGAAAUGCGUAGAGAUCGGGAGGAACAUCAGUGGCGAAGGCGGCCCUCUGGACCAGUACUGACGCUGAGGCACGAAAGCGUGGGGAGCAAACAGG
rnacentral:rRNA from 1 species